GAAAUAGACCUUUAACACAUAACUGGGUUUUACUGCAGUUUGGUGAAUCUUAAACAAAAUACAGAGUUUUAGGCUUGGAUGUCUUGUCAAGUAUUUGUCAAUGAGAAGCAUUUUGACAUUUGGGAACUGGGUAUCUUAAAAAGUGCUUUGUUAACAUCUUUUUAUGCUUCUACUCUGCUACUCAUACUCUCAAAGAGAAAUAAUGGAAGA
rnacentral:lncRNA from 1 species